UACGUAGGGGGCUAGCGUUGUCCGGAUUUAUUGGGCGUAAAGAGCGUGUAGGCGGCCAGGUAGGUCUGGUGUGAAAACUCGAGGCUUAACCUCGAGAUGUCAUCGGAAACCAUCUGGCUAGAGUCCGGAAGAGGAGAGUGGAAUUCCUGGUGUAGCGGUGAAAUGCGCAGAUAUCAGGAAGAACACCCGUGGUGUAGACGGCUUGCUGGACGGUCACUGACGCUGAGGCACGAAAGCGUGGGGGAGCAAACAGG
rnacentral:rRNA from 1 species